UGGCUCUUUCACUGAUAAGAAAUUAUCUUAAUGGCAGAACACAGAAAGUCCUCUUCAAUGGUAGCUUGUCUGAAACAAAGUUUAUGUCAUGUGGUGUUCCACAAGGUAGUUGUUUGGGUCCACUUUUAUUUUGUGUAUUUUGUGUUCAGUGUUUGUAAAUGAUAUGUCCCAUGAGAUUAGANNNNNNNNNNAAUAAUAAUAAUAAUAAUAAUAAUAAUAAUAAUAAUAAUAAUAAUAAUAAUAAUAAUAAUAAUAAUAAUAAUAAUAAUGGAUUGGAUUUAUCUGCGAAAUGCAGAAGUGGUGUUAUAUGCAGAUGAUGCAACUUUAUUCUGUGCAUCUGCUACUGUCCCAGAGCUCAAUACAGCCCUACAGAAUCAACUUAAUUUAGUUACCAAUUGGGUUAAGUUGAAUAAAUUGGUUCUUAAUACAUCUAAAACAAAAUGCAUCGUUUUCGGUACAAAAUAUUUAUUGAAUGCACCAUGUUACCUGAAUUUGAUGAUCAGCUCUCUUGGACAGAUCAGAUUAAUCAUAUAGUAUCCAAGAUGGGCAGAGGAAUCGCCCUGGCUCGGAGGUGUGCGCAAUAUUGUCCACCUUCAGUCAUGAGGACAGUUGUACAGUCUUUAGUUUUGUCACAUCUGGAGUAUUGCCCAGUCAUUUGGUCUAGUGCGACACAGGGGCAUCUAAAAAAAUUACAACUUGCCCAAAAUCGAGCUGCCAGGGUGGCUCUUGGUUGCUCUUUUUGGACCAAUGUGAACGAGAUGCACACCAUUUUAGGUUUAGACAAAGUACAACUCAGUCUUCAAUGCUUAAUGCACAAUCUCAUUUUUAAAAAAUGUCCACAAUAUUUGGUAAACAAAGUUUUAUACAGUGGGUAUUGUCACCAAUAUCAGACUCGUCAGGUCAGCUCUGGUGAUUUGAUUGUUCCUUUUUCAAGAUCUAACUAUAUGAGAAGAAUAGUGCUGUUUAGAUCUUCUCUUGCAUGGAAUCAAGUGUCUGUAAGGACAAGGCUUAUUAGUAACAAAUAUCAUUUCAAAAAGAUUUUAAAACUAAGAUACAUGGACCACUUACAAUAUCUAACAAUUUGA
rnacentral:lncRNA from 1 species